rnacentral:rRNA from 1 species
CCUACGGGUGGCUGCAGUGAGGAAUAUUGGUCAAUGGGCGCGAGCCUGAACCAGCCAAGUCGCGUGAAGGACGACUGCCCUAUGGGUUGUAAACCUCUUUUAUCUGGGAAUAAAAUGUUCCACGUGUGGCGUUCUGUAUGUACCUGAUGAAUAAGCAUCGGCUAACUCCGUGCCAGCAGCCGCGGUAAUACGGAGGAUCCGAGCGUUAUCCGGAUUUAUUGGGUUUAAGGGGUGCGCAGGCGGAAUAUCAAGUUAGCGGUAAAAAUGCGGGGCUCAACCUCGUCGAGCCGUUGAAACUGAUGUUCUUGAGUGGGCGAGAAGUAUGCGGAAUGCGUGGUGUAGCGGUGAAAUGCAUAGAUAUCACGCAGAACUCCGAUUGCGAAGGCAGCAUACCGGCGCCCAACUGACGCUGAAGCACGAAAGCGUGGGUAUCGAACAGGAUUAGAUACCCUGGUAGUC